UGCAGGUCCAGGUAGAGGGCUCCAGCCUCU
rnacentral:sRNA from 1 species